CUCAAUUGUAUUGUGUUCUUUGAAGAAAAGGUGUCUGUCCUUAUGUUGGCACAUUUAAUUGAAGGAAUAAUGAAAUGCAACAUUCAGCUGAUGAGGAGGGCCAAGACCAUCCUGCUGCAGGAUUCUUCAAGACUUGUGGAACCUAUUUCGUGGCUCAGGGAACUUCCAGCAUUUUUGAGGAGACUGAAUUUCUUUUGAUCAUAGAAGAACAAAAAGAGAUAUUAACUAUGGAGUGUCUACCCUUGACAGGGUAUCCAUGCAUCAUGCCCUGGAGAUGCAAAGGAGGCCUGGUUAGAAGAAAUAUGCUGGGGGUAACUGCAAGUCCUUGUCAUCAUGUCACACUGGGUACUGGUGGGGCUGGCACCCUGGACCUAGACAGCCAGAGUACUGACAGACACAGAAACACAGAAACAUCAGGGAACUCUUUUCAGAUUUUCU
rnacentral:lncRNA from 1 species